rnacentral:sRNA from 1 species
GUUGGUUUGAUCUCUA